rnacentral:rRNA from 1 species
UGGGGAAUCUUGCGCAAUGGGGGAAACCCUGACGCAGCCAUGCCGCGUGAAUGAUGAAGGUCUUAGGAUUGUAAAAUUCUUUCAGCGGGGACGAUAAUGACGGUACCCGCAGAAGAAGCUCCGGCUAACUUCGUGCCAGCAGCCGCGGUAAUACGAAGGGGGCUAGCGUUGCUCGGAAUUACUGGGCGUAAAGGGCGCGUAGGCGGACAGUUAAGUCAGAGGUGAAAGCCCAGGGCUCAACCCUGGAAUUGCCUUUGAUACUGGCUGUCUUGAGUAUGGGAGAGGUGAGUGGAACUCCGAGUGUAGAGGUGAAAUUCGUAGAUAUUCGGAAGAACACCAGUGGCGAAGGCGACUCACUGGCCCAUUACUGACGCUGAGGCGCGAAAGCGUGGGGAGCAAAC